AACGAACGCGGGCGGCAGGCCGAACACAUGCAAGUCGAACGAGACCUUCGGGUCUAGUGGCGCACGGGUGCGUAACGCGUGGGAACCUGCCCUUAGGUUCGGAAUAACUCCCCGAAAGGGGUGCUAAUACCGGAUAAUGUCUUCGGACCAAAGAUUUAUCGCCUUUGGAUGGGCCCGCGUUGGAUUAGCUAGUUGGUAGGGUAAAAGCCUACCAAGGCGACGAUCCAUAGCUGGUCUGAGAGGAUGAUCAGCCACACUGGGACUGAGACACGGCCCAGACUCCUACGGGAGGCAGCAGUGGGGAAUAUUGGACAAUGGGCGAAAGCCUGAUCCAGCAAUGCCGCGUGAGUGAUGAAGGCCUUAGGGUUGUAAAGCUCUUUUACCCGGGAUGAUAAUGACAGUACCGGGAGAAUAAGCUCCGGCUCCCUCCGUU
rnacentral:rRNA from 1 species